CAUCAUGGAAACUCUUACAAAAAAGUUUCGCUUGAGGAGUUACUGCAACUACUAAUCAACCAGUCAGUUGAUUCUAGAGACCUUUGAACGUAGCUCCAGUUGACUCAAGGGUGCAGGAAUUGCUAAGAUGGAGAAAAUAGGCAAGCGUAGGAAAUGGGAUCUUUGGCUUAUUUCCAGUUAAAGUGAUUGCCAUGUCACGCACCUGAUGGAAAACAACUUGGUCUUCAAGCCUAGUCUCAGCAGAAACCGAGCACCAGAAAAAGAAGCCCAUGCAACCCGUGGAAGACCCCUACGGUUGGAAUGCGUUCAUUGUCUUUGGGACGUUCUCAAUACCGUUAGCAGACAUGUAUCCUAAAAGCACAGCUCCAGAAGAGACGACGGCCACGAUUCCUGCGCCUGAAACUGGGAAAUAGAGUAUUCCGGAUCUGCAGGGACACCGGGGUAACAGAAUGUAUGUAUGGAAGCGUACAAGGCCCUUGAAAGUUCUCCAAAGGCUCGGACUGAGGAAACUGAGCCCAUUUUGUGUUUAAACCACUCUAGGCUUGACUCCUCAACAUCUGGCCGCUGUCUGUCAUUUGUCAAUGCUUUAAAAGGUCUUUAAAAACGGUGAUAAUUUUGAUGUUGUUGUUGUUGUUGUUUCUGAUUCAUUGUUGAAAAGGUGCUUUUUCUUUAUGUGAUCGUUUCUAAGUCACGGUGUUAGCUAGAAUGUUUGUGUGGCUGUACUUCCUUUGAAUUGCAGGUACACACAUACUGCAACAGCGUAGUAGGUGUGAGCUAAACAUGAUUGUAUGUAUUCCUUCAGUAAUUCCUUCAUAUUCCGGGCAUUAAUGUAACAUCUCAUCUUAAGAGUUUGGCAAAUUCUUAAAUAGUCCGAAUUUUGAAACCGGGCACCGACUGAUGUGAAAGCGUCAGGAAAACUGGCUUCAAAGUUAAGACGAAGAAUUCAACAGUGUUGGCCUGGCUGAUCAGGUAGGGCUCUCGCCUCUGAAUCGGAACGGUUCUAGGUUCAAGCCCCAAGUCGGGAGUUUGAACUCGUAUAGUCGAGACUGAACCUCCAAUACAGUGUUGCAGGAGUGCCUCAUUGAUGGGAAUGCCAUACUUUGGAUGAGAUGUUAAAAGUUAGUAGUUUGGGUUGGUGCAGUUACAGUUAAUGCCAGCGCCACGGCAGUGUAAAAGCCAGCUCUAAGCUUGUCUCACCUCCACCGACAUUAUGCAAUGAAGAUUCAGUCAGUAUUUUUUAAGAGUUGCUCAAAUGAGCAACGUCCACAAUUUUGUGGUAUGCACUGAGAUGAAAACCACUUUAGCUGCCUGUGGUCAUUAGGAGCAGAUAAAAUAAUUUUUUCUAGUAUCGUUGCUGCCUUGUCUUCCUGCAUGUUUCAUGCCUUGUAACCUGCAUUGAAUGUUGCCUUACUCACUGUAUUGGUUAAUAAAAUAAGUA